rnacentral:rRNA from 1 species
AUGACUCGUCAAUGGAUGUAUCAGUUCAAGCAUUAAGGAAGAACGUAACAAAAUGCGAUACGUGGUGGCUAUUAGUUAACAAUUGUAGAUUUAAAUGCAAGUUACACAUCAAGCUGCCAAUCCGUUGAGGGCAUGAUUGCAUGGGCGUCG